AGGCUUUGAUCCUGGCUCAGAACGAACGCUGGCGGCAUGCCUAACACAUGCAAGUCGAACGAAGCCUUCGGGCUUAGUGGCGCACGGGUGCGUAACGCGUGGGAAUCUGCCUUCAGGUACGGAAUAACUCAGGGAAACUUGUGCUAAUACCGUAUGAUGACUUCGGUCCAAAGAUUUAUCGCCUGAAGAUGAGCCCGCGUAGGAUUAGCUAGUUGGUGGGGUAAAGGCCUACCAAGGCGACGAUCCUUAGCUGGUCUGAGAGGAUGAUCAGCCACACUGGGACUGAGACACGGCCCAGACUCCUACGGGAGGCAGCAGUGGGGAAUAUUGGACAAUGGGCGAAAGCCUGAUCCAGCAAUGCCGCGUGAGUGAAGAAGGCCUUCGGGUUGUAAAGCUCUUUUACCCGGGAUGAUAAUGACCGUACCGGGAGAAUAAGCCCCGGCUAACUCCGUGCCAGCAGCCGCGGUAAUACGGAGGGGGCUAGCGUGUCCGG
rnacentral:rRNA from 1 species